UUUGUGGGCAUGUUCUCGAUUCUGUGUUCAUACAUUGCUAAGUAUAGCUUAUUAAUUUUGAUUAAUACAAAAAUAUAUAGCAUUAAAGAUAAAACUGAGAAUGAAAAUAGGUAAUGUGUCAAAGAGACAACAAUCCGAUAAAAGAGCGGAAAACAGCCGAAUGCCACCAAUGGGUCUUCAAUACAGCUAGAAAAUUCCUCAUCCGGAGGAUGCAUAGUUG
rnacentral:lncRNA from 1 species